GUCCACGCCCUAAACGAUGCCGAUUUGCUGUUCCGAGUAUCGACCCUCGGGGUGGCGUAGCUAACGCGUUAAAUCGGCCGCCUGGGAAGUACGGCCGCAAGGCUAAAACUCAAAGGAAUAGACGGGGACUCGCACAAGCGGUGGAGCAUGAGGUUUAAUUCGACACUAAACGAAGAACCUUACCAGGGCUUGAAAUCUUAGUGGAAAGCCGUCCGAAAAGGAUGGCCCUCUCUCAAGGACUACUAGGACAGGUGCUGCAUGGUUGUCGU
rnacentral:rRNA from 1 species